CUUCCCAAACUUCUCCCACGUUCAUAAUAUGAAGCAAUUCUCCAGUUCUGGUAGGACGUUGUUCCACUGUUUUCUCACUCAGCCACACGGAUGGAUAUUGGGGGCUUUGAAGUUGUGUUCCGAAUAGAAGAAUCCACUUUGUGUCUUGUGACGUAUAUUAAUUCUGCUUCUUUUUUCCUUCCUCCUAUUUGAAGUGCUGCAGUGUGGAGAUCAGAGAUCCUGAGGGAAAGAAGAACCCAUCAAAUCCCCCUCGGGAGCUAUUUUUCAGGAAGAUCCCUUGGGAAGAUCCAAGACAGGACCCCUCAGGAGAGAAACAAAGAAUGAAGAUUUCUGGUUUUUAUGAGGGAGAUCAAACAGCUGUUGAACCUCCAAAUCAAGAGGGUCUUGUGUCCUUCGAGGAGGUGGCUGUGUAUUUCUCUGAGGAGGAAUGGUCUCAGCUGGAUCCUGACCAGAAAGCGCUGCAUUCGGAAGUCAUGCUUGAAAACCAUAGGAACGUGGUCUCUCU